CCAAAAUUCUGAGAUGGGGAAACUUCCUCUCUGAUCAGUUGAACUGCAAUUCCUUAAAGGAUAGGGCUGGAGUUUUUCUUCUCUGCUGGUGUUUUUCUUCUCUACUACGUGGCUCCCAAUGCAAUCAUAGAAAUGCAGGGCAAAGUGCGAUCCUCUCCCAAAAAAACUAUGUGUAUUCACGUCCAUGUCUCAACAUCAGCUUCUGAGGGAAUGCAACUUAAAACAAAGGGAUCCAUUGUGAAAAUAUAAAUUGUUUCAAAAUUUAUACAAUUUAUAUCAAUUCCUGGAUGAUAUAUGAAGGAUUAUUAAGAGGUUGCUCAAAUUCCAUGAGGACUUCUUUUGGAUAGCUUACCACAAAGAUUACAUUCUCUUUGGAGUUCAGAUACCAUACAUCAAAACACUGGAGCUUUUGCAAGUUUUCUCUCAACAGGGGAAAUAUAUCCCCUGCAAACUAAAGGCAAAGUCAAAAGAGCAGUAAACAACU
rnacentral:lncRNA from 1 species